rnacentral:rRNA from 1 species
CCUACGGGAGGCAGCAGUGAGGAAUAUUGGUCAAUGGACGAGAGUCUGAACCAGCCAAGUAGCGUGAAGGAUGACUGCCCUAUGGGUUGUAAACUUCUUUUAUAAAGGAAUAAAACGAGGCACGUGUGCCUUUUUGCAUGUACUUUAUGAAUAAGGAGCGGCUAACUCCGUGCCAGCAGCCGCGGUAAUACGGAGGAUCCGAGCGUUAUCCGGAUUUAUUGGGUUUAAAGGGAGCGUAGAUGGGUUGUUAAGUCAGUUGUGAAAGUUUGCGGCUCAACCGUAAAAUUGCAAUUGAUACUGGCAGUCGUGAGUACAGUUGAGGUAGGCGGAAUUCGUGGUGUAGCGGUGAAAUGCUUAGAUAUCACGAAGAACCCCGAUUGCGAAGGCAGCUUACUAAACUGUGACUGACAUUGAUGCUCGAAAGUGUGGGUAUCAAACAGGAUUAGAUACCCUUGUAGUC